UACGUAGGGUCCAAGCGUUUAAUCGGAAUUACUGGGCGUAAAGCGUGCGCAGGCGGUUGUGUAAGCCAGAUGUGAAAUCCCCGGGCUUAACCUGGGAAUGGCAUUUGGGACUGCACGGCUAGAGUACGGCAGAGGAGACUAGAAUUCCUGGUGUAGCAGUGAAAUGCGUAGAUAUCAGGAGGAAUACCGAUGGGCGAAGGCAGGUCUCUGGGUCGAUACUGACGUCA
rnacentral:rRNA from 1 species